UCUCCUUCCCCGAUCCAGUUCCCUCUCUUUCUAGCCCUGUUCGUUCCCCAAAUCCAGCGGUGAGAGGCAACCGCUGUCGUGACGCAGCCGAAGACGGGGGGCAGGGAAGGGGAAGGGCUGGAGCACGGCGGGGAUCCGCUUCUCGUCGCCGGCGCAGACCAAAAAUGGUUCUAGAAGGAGAUGUGAUUCCAAGUGAAGGAGAGGGGUCUACAAACCAUUCUUCUCGACGGAACUCGAAACGGCCGUCGAGCGGCAGCCGUGUCGUGCUGAUAUCGACGGGAAGGCAAAGGAUGAUGAGGUCGGUGAUCAAUUCCACUUUGUGAAACGGCCGGAAUGGAAGGCGACCAUGCAUGUGGGAGUUGUAGCUGGAGCUAGCAUAUCGUAGACCAAAAUGGCUGGAGAAGGAGAUGUGGCUGACAAUGAAACAGAGGGUUCUGCAAAUCCCAUCUCACGACGGAACUCAAAAAGGGCUGGUAAGCGGCAGCCGCGUGGCGAUGAUAAGGACGGGGAUGGAGAGGGUGACGAUAACUUUAGGGUGGCGAAAGAUUCCUCUUAGUAAAACUGCAAAGAAGAAAGGGGCGCACGGAGGCAGUAUCCAAAGGGGUAGAUGCCACAUCUUCUGCAGCAGUCACUGAGAUAUUGUUCAAGGGAAUGAGAGUAAUGAAGCAGAUAAUGUUGAACGAUAGUCACAAGCUGGCUACCUGAUGGAGACUGCCUGGCUAGGACCCUUUCUUUCGUUGAGAAGAAGAAGGAGCCCUGUGGAGAAGGAAGUGUGGGCGAGGGGUGCGUGGAGGCUUCGGGAGUUAGUGGGCUAUCACGUGAUACCGUCCGGCCUUUGUUUUCUGAUUCUUCACGGAUUCUAGGAGUCGGAAUGAAGUUUCCUUUAUGGGAACAGUGGGGACAAAAAGUUACCUUUUUCGGCGGGCUGCUCACGAGCGCUAGCAGGCCAACGGCCGCUAGCCAGACGCGUCCCGAAAUUAAAGGUUUAUAGGUACAUGGCACUACAUCCUGUCUAUUUUUGCACAGGCACUACAUCCUGUCUAUUUUUGCAUAUGCAACUACUCCUUUUUUUGUUUAUAUGCGCACAUCCAGGCAAAAGUUGGCUUGGAUUCAUGUUUAGUUGCACAAAUAGAUGGUUUUUUGCACAGGCACUUCACCCUGUCUAUUUUUUGCACAUGGGUUGGUUUAUUUGCAUGCAUCCAGGCAAAAGUUGGCUUGGAUCCAUGUUUAGUUGCACAGGAAAGUGUUUUAUUGUGCAGAGAUCAGAUUCAACUCUAUUUGCUGCUUCAUGUUCCCUCUUCCUCCAACUAUGGAGAAGACCGGAGAAGAUUUGUGGCAGAUCCAGAGGGAAAGGGAAGGGGAAAGUGAAGAAGGAUGAUCUGAAGGCUAGAGGGAAGUUACCUGAUGUUGCUGCCUGCUAUGGCUCUGUACUCCCUCUUCUUGGAAUUGAAGCUUUUCUGGCCAAUUUCUUCACCUAGUUUUGCUCUGCCAUGGCAGCUCUGUAGGGUUUGGAUCCAGGCCAAGGAUCCCCUUCUUUCGUGGAGAAGAAGAAGGGCGACCCGUGGGGGGAGGAAGUGUGGGCGAGGUGUGCGUGGGAGGCUUGGGGAUGUAGUGGUUAUCACGUGACAACGAUGGGGGAGAUUUUCUGUUUGUUGGGAGUGUGGCCAGUCGGGUCGGAAGAAACUUUCCUUCCUGGGACCAAGGGGGACAGGAAGUUGCCUUUUAUGGUUGGCUGCUCGAUCGCGCUAGUGGGCAGCCGGCCGCCCACUAGACGCGUCGAUGAAUUUAACUCUAUAUAUUGAUCGGUGCGUCCCAGCCAUGGUCAUCGCUCAAUUCGUGUAAAAGUGACCCGUCGCGUUUCAGAGGGUUUAAGUCGAUCGAGAAAGCAGUAAAGGGUUAUUAGCCAAAAUGAGAGGGAGCGGCCGGAUGCAUGUGAUGGUCAUCUUGUUCGUGGGAUCUCUUGCGCUCGCUGCAGAGUGUCGUCUAGAGGCCGGAAGAAGGAGCCAUCUAGACGGUGGUGAUAACAACACAAGUAGUAACAGUGCUUCCCUGACCAACUCGAUAUCAUCAUUAGAUGAUGCCAGGUUUAGCCUGAUAUAUUGCCGCCGGGCUCGCUCUUGUAGCUCUGAUGACUGCUACUGCUGCCCUCUCCUAAAGCCCACAUUGUGUUUCAAGACGUUGGACGCGUGCAAGUCUAAAUGUCCUAAAUGCGAUCCCAAGUGCCCACCUGAAUCGACAAUGGAAUUACAUGCAUGAAAGCAUCAUGACAGGAUAAAGGAACAGUAAUAAUAAUUAUAUUUUCUAUUCUUAUCAAGUUAUCAUGCCUUUUCUCUUGGACUCUCUCACCUGAUAUGAAAAGAUCUCUACAAUUUUCCUACCAUAUCCUAUUUCCUCACUUCUGCCACUACUGUGAUAUCCUGAAGCCCGUGUCAUGUUUCAAGACG